UACGUAGGGGGCUAGCGUUGUCCGGAAUCAUUGGGCGUAAAGAGCGCGUAGGCGGCCCGAUAAGUCUGCUGUGAAAGUCCAGGGCUCAACCCUGGAAUGCCGGUGGAUACUGUCGGGCUAGAGUACGGAAGAGGCGAGUGGAAUUCCUGGUGUAGCGGUGGAAUGCGCAGAUAUCAGGAGGGACACCAAUAGCGAAGGCAGCUCGCUGGGACGUUACUGACGCUGAGGCGCGAAAGCGUGGGGAGCAAACAGG
rnacentral:rRNA from 1 species